rnacentral:rRNA from 1 species
GACGAACGCUGGCGGCGUGCUUAACACAUGCAAGUCGAACGGAAAGGCCCUGCUUUUGUGGGGUGCUCGAGUGGCGAACGGGUGAGUAACACGUGAGUAACCUGCCCUUGACUUUGGGAUAACUUCAGGAAACUGGGGCUAAUACCGGAUAGGAGCUCCUGCUGCAUGGUGGGGGUUGGAAAGUUUCGGCGGUUGGGGAUGGACUCGCGGCUUAUCAGCUUGUUGGUGGGGUAGUGGCUUACCAAGGCUUUGACGGGUAGCCGGCCUGAGAGGGUGACCGGCAAAAUGGGAAUGGGGAUCCGGCCAGAAUCCCACGGGGGGGCACAGGUGGGAAUUAUGCACAAAGGGGCGGAGGCCGAUUCCGCAACCGCGGGGUGGGGAAGAACGGCUUUGGGGUUGAAAACGCCUUUGGCCGGGAACAAGGCGGGGGUACGGGAAUUGGUAAAGAAGGAACGGCCUAACUACGU